rnacentral:lncRNA from 10 species
GACAAUAUCUGGAUAUGUCUUUGAGGCCAAACAGGGGAGCGAUAUGAUUGGUUCAGUUUCUCUCUUAUAUAGCAAACCUCUCUGAGCAUAAAGGAAUUGAUGAUGUUUACUAGAAUCAUAUGGAGAUGAGCAGAAACUUCCUCUAAAGAAUGAAAAGGCUGAUACCCCCCAAAGGAGGAGGUCAAGAUGCUGGUCUAGAGAGGAAGAAUAAGAAAUAUGUGAGCCACCCUAUAUAAGCUCCAAGUGUCAUAAUUUCAGAGGCUCUCUACUGUGGUGCAAUCCCUGCACAUUCAGGUGACAUCUGGCCAACAUUUUCAGGCUCAGGUUUGGUAAUUCUAGAUAGAGGAGAGUACUGUUUCUCCCAAUAGGAACACUGUGACAAAGGU